AACUGAAACUGGAAAGCGGAGUGAUCUGGGCGUGUUGUGCUUUCUUACCACUGUUUCGCAGGCGAACCAGGAGCGGAAUCCGGUUCCGGCAUCUCAGUCGACUGGGCCAUGGACGGGCAGCGUUCCAGAUCCGAUGACCCAUUCCUUCUCAAUUACCAGCCUUCCGAGCUGCGAAUCGCCUCCGAGUUCUUCGCAACAUGGCUUCCCUUUCUCUCCAAAGAUCUCUGCGGUCGCUGUUCUGCAAUUCUUUCUGACCGCAUCCGUUCCAUUGACCCCGAGCCUCAUGGUGAUGCUCCCAGAGAGCAAUUUGAAGACGAUUCGAAUGCUUCUGUUGCUAAUAAUACGCAAUCGCAUGAGACGGGUGACGAUCAUGACGAUAAUAAUUCUCUUGGGAGUUGGAAAGAUGGGGCAGAAGCGAGUUAUUCGGGUGAAGCAUCUGGGUGGUCUGAACCAGUGAGUGAAGUCAAUUACGAAUCCCCUUUAUUGGAGACCCCGAGCCCUCGUAUGUCUUGGGCGGACAUGGCGCAGGAGGAUGAGUUUGCUGAAGAAGAGCAUAACGAGUUGCCGGCCAAUGCAAGUUCUUCGGAUGGAACUACAACAAAAGUUCCCGAGAAGCCUAAGUUGUCUUGGGAGCAGCGAGAGUACCUUAGGUUUAUGAAUGUCCGGCGUGAGAAGGACUAUAUGUGCUUUGAGAGGGUUAAUGGAAAACUUGUCAACAUACUUGAAGGGCUUGAACUCCAUACGGGUAUUUUUAGUGCUGCUGAACAGAAAAGGAUAGUCAAUCAUGUUGCUUCACUGCAAGAGAUGGGAAAAAAGGGAGAACUGAAAGGUCGGACGUAUACAGCUCCUCAAAAGUGGAUGAGAGGCAAGGGACGCCAAACUAUCCAAUUUGGGUGCUGUUACAAUUAUGCAACAGAUAAAGAUGGUAACCCACCUGGCAUUCUUCAGAAUGUGAUGGUAGAUCCUAUUCCUGACCUUUUCAAGGUCAUCAUCCGAAGGUUGAUCAGGUGGCAUGUACUUCCUCCUACUUGUGUGCCUGAUAGUUGCAUUGUUAAUAUUUAUGAAGAAGGCGACUGUAUACCUCCGCACAUAGACAAUCAUGAUUUCGUUCGACCAUUUUGCACUGUAUCAUUUCUUAGUGAGUGCAAUAUAGUCUUUGGAUCCAACUUAAAGGUUGUCGGUGCUGGGGAAUUUGAUGGUUCAGUUGCCAUUCCCCUGCCUGCGGGAUCUGUACUUGUGUUGAAUGGAAAUGGAGCUGAUGUAGCUAAGCAUUGUGUGCCUGCAGUUUCUUCGAAAAGGAUAUCUAUCACAUUUAGAAGGAUGGAUGCUUCCAAACGGCCUAUAGGAUAUGUUCCAGAGCCUGAUCUGCAGGGGAUCCAGCCGUUGGUCUUUGAGGAAAAGAGGUCUAAUGGAUCCAGAUCUCACCGUCAUAUGAAGAAACCAAACCGAAGAGGUCGUAGGAAUGAUGCAAUGGGACCUGCAACUGGAAGAGAUAGAAAUUUUGAGCCUCAUGAAUUAACUCAUAGUGCACAAAGGCCUUCAAACAGGCAGAGCAGAGGAAGGCUGGGUAGUUGAUCAAUGCUCGAUAUUAGGAUAAAGGUUCUUGGUGGCUCAGUGUUAGCUCCAGUAUUCACAGAAAGUGUUGGUUGUGGUCAUGUGAUUUUCUAUCUAUGAACAGGAUUGUCAUGCAGGCCUGAUCACUUUGGUUUCUGAGGGGACACAGACAGCAUCCAAUUUUAUAUAAUCACCUUGCACACCCACGUUGGUCAGUUGAGAAGUGCUUUAGUAUUUUUCUCAAGCAAUGUGAACGUGGAUGUCAAGAGUGGUUGCCAUUGGUUAUUAUAAGUUAUUGUGAUUUGUAUCUUCUUUAGUACCGAGCUUAAAAGACUGGAAGUGUAUUGGCCGCGCCGCUGGAUUUGAUGGGUUGAAAUUUAUCGUCGGAUCAGCUACGCUUCAAAGUUGCUUGUUUGUAUAAAGAUGGUGCUCGGUACGUCAAAUUAACUCGUUUGUCCUAUGAAGUAUUGCGCUUGUAUUUUUUUUCCCUCGUGAUUUGUAUUUUCCUGAGAAAACGAGUAAUUUUACUUGUAAGUAUAGUUGUUCAUCUGAGAUGUGCCAGAACUCGUCUAGUGGGGCGGCGUCAUUAUUAGAAUGGUUGAUACUUGAGUCCUUAUUUA